UGAUUCAGCGGCGGACGGGUGAGUAAUGCCUAGGAAUCUGCCUGAUAGUGGGGGACAACGUUUCGAAAGGAACGCUAAUACCGCAUACGUCCUACGGGAGAAAGCAGGGGACCUUCGGGCCUUGCGCUAUCAGAUGAGCCUAGGUCGGAUUAGCUAGUUGGUGAGGUAACGGCUCACCAAGGCGACGAUCCGUAACUGGUCUGAGAGGAUGAUCAGUCACACUGGAACUGAGACACGGUCCAGACUCCUACGGGAGGCAGCAGUGGGGAAUAUUGGACAAUGGGCGAAAGCCUGAUCCAGCCAUGCCGCGUGUGUGAAGAAGGUCUUCGGAUUGUAAAGCACUUUAAGUUGGGAGGAAGGGCAUUAACCUAAUACGUUAGUGUUUUGACGUUACCGACAGAAUAAGCACCGGCUAACUUCGUGCCAGCAGCCGCGGUAAUACGAAGGGUGCAAGCGUUAAUCGGAAUUACUGGGCGUAAAGCGCGCGUAGGUGGUUUGUUAAGUUGAAUGUGAAAGCCCCGGGCUCAACCUGGGAACUGCAUCCAAAACUGGCAAGCUAGAGUAUGGCAGAGGGUGGUGGAAUUUCCUGUGUAGCGGUGAAAUGCGUAGAUAUAGGAAGGAACACCAGUGGCGAAGGCGACCACCUGGGCUAAUACUGACACUGAGGUGCGAAAGCGUGGGGAGCAAACAGGAUUAGAUACCCUGGUAGUCCACGCCGUAAACGAUGUCGACUAGCCGUUGGGAUCCUUGAGAUCUUAGUGGCGCAGCUAACGCAUUAAGUCGACCGCCUGGGGAGU
rnacentral:rRNA from 1 species